GGUAACUUUCCGAGGGAGGCGUGUGGAAGCGACUUACAGGUUGUCUGUACUGAUGAUACUGUGGCGGGUAGUUUUGUUGACGUGGUGGAGCCGGGUAGUUUUGCUGACGUGGCGGAGCCGGGUAGUUUUGCUGAUGUGGCGGAGCCGGGUAGUUUUGCUGAGGUGGCGGAGCCGGGCUGUUGUUGUGGGGCCUACCGCGAUACAUUAAAGACUUGAGAUAACUUUUGGGCAGCUCUUUAGUUGUAGCGGUGGUUUUCUU
rnacentral:lncRNA from 1 species